rnacentral:SRP_RNA from 1 species
GCUGGGUGCAUGCACCUGUAAUCCCGGCUACUUGGGAGGCUGAGGUGAGAGGAUCACUUGAGCCCAGGAGGUCAGGGCUGCAGUGAGCUGUGAUCAUACCACUGCACUCCAGCCUGGGCAACAGAGUGAGACCCUAUCUUAA